rnacentral:rRNA from 1 species
AUUGAACGCUGGCGGCAGGCCUAACACAUGCAAGUCGAACGGUAGCACAGGGGAGCUUGCUCCCCGGGUGACGAGUGGCGGACGGGUGAGUAAUGUCUGGGAAACUGCCUGAUGGAGGGGGAUAACUACUGGAAACGGUAGCUAAUACCGCAUAAUGUCGCAAGACCAAAGCGGGGGACCUUCGGGCCUCGCACCAUCGGAUGUGCCCAGAUGGGAUUAGCUAGUAGGUGGGGUAAUGGCUCACCUAGGCGACGAUCCCUAGCUGGUCUGAGAGGAUGACCAGCCACACUGGAACUGAGACACGGUCCAGACUCCUACGGGAGGCAGCAGUGGGGAAUAUUGCACAAUGGGCGCAAGCCUGAUGCAGCCAUGCCGCGUGUAUGAAGAAGGCCUUCGGGUUGUAAAGUACUUUCAGCGGGGAGGAAGGCAUUGCGGUUAAUAACCGCAGUGAUUGACGUUACCCGCAGAAGAAGCACCGGCUAACUCCGUGCCAGCCGCCGCAGUAA